GCCGGGCGUGGUGGUGUGCGCCUGUAAUCCCAGCUUCCCGGGAGGCUGAAGCUGGAGGAUCGCUUGAGCUCAGGAGUUCUGGGCUGCAGUGCGCUAUGCCGAUCGGGUGUCCACACUAAGUUCGGCAUCAAUAUGGUGACUUCCCGGGAGUGGGGGACCACCAGGUUGCCUAAGGAGGGGUGAACCGGCCCAGGUCGGAAACGGAGCAGGUCAAAACUCCCCUGCUGAUCAGUAGUGGGAUCGCGCCUGUAAAUAGCCACUGUACUCCAGCCUGGGCAACAUAGCGAGACCCUGUCUCU
rnacentral:SRP_RNA from 1 species